GUUGGAAGGGACCUCUGAGAUCAUCCAGUCCAACCCUUGAUCCAACUCCGCCGUGGUUCCCAGCCCAUGGCACUGAUGCCACAUCCAGUCUGUCCUUAAACACCUCCAGGGACGGGGACUCCACCCCUCCCUGGGCAGCCCAUUCCAAGGGCUGAUCCCUCUCUCUGGGAAGAAUUUCUUCCCAAUGUCCAACCUAAACCUCCCCUGGUGCAGCUCAAGGCUGUGCCCUCUUGUUCUACUGCUGGUUCCUGGGAGAAGAGCCUGACCCCCCCAGCUCCCCCCUCCUGUCAGGGAGUUGUAGAGAGUGAGGAGGUCUCCCCUCAGCCUCCUCUUCUCCAGGCUGAACAGCCCCAGCUCCCUCAGCCUCUCCUCAUAGGAUUUGUGCUCCAGUCCCCUCACCAGCCUUGUUGCUCUUCCCUGGACCUGCUCCAGCCCCUCCAUGUCCUUCCUGAUCUGAAGGCCCAGAGCUGGACACAGCACUCGAGGUGAGGCCUCACCAGUGCCCAGUCCUGGGGCAGAGUCACCUCCCUGGUCCUGCUGCCACACUCUUCCUGAUCCAGGCCAGGAUGCCAUGGAAUGAUGCCAAGAAUCAUCUCCCUAGUUCUGCUGCCACACUCUUCCUGAUCCAGGCCAGGAUGCCAUGGAAUGAUGCCAAGAAUCAUCUCCCUAGUUCUGCUGCCACACUCUUCCUGAUCCAGGCCAGGAUGCCAUGGAAUGAUGCCAAGAAUCACCUCCCUGGUCCUGCUGCCACACUGUUCCUGACCCAGGCCAGUAUCCAUUGGUGCCAUUCAAUGUACACUUUAAUGAAAACUAGUGAAACCAAAGCUUCCUAAGGAAGAGGUUGAAAUUCCAGCUGUAAUGGGACUAUUUCUGUUUAAAAUGCUAAAAACGUGGUGGAUGAGCAGAAGGGUGACAACAGAGUCUUUGAGGGAGCUCCUCUCAGUUCCUGGAGGGAUCCUACAAGAAAGAUGGAGAAAGUCUAUUUACAAGUGCCAGGACAAGGGGGAAUGGCUGCAAACUGAAAGCUAGCAGGGAUAGAUGGGAUGCUGGGGAGGAAUUCUUCUCUAAGAGGGUGGUGAGAGGCUGGGAUGGAAUUCCUGGAGAAGCUGUGGCUGCCCCUGGAUCCCUGGAAGUGUCCAAGGCCAGGUUAGAGCAACCUGGAAUAGUGGGAGGUGUCCCUGCCCAUGGCAGGGGGUGGCAUUGGAUGAGCUUUAAGAUCCCUCCCAACCCAAACUAUUCUGUGAUUUUAUGAUUCUGUUUAGCCCUCAUCACCCAUCAUCUCUUGGAGGCAGAUUGGAGAAGUCUGGGAGUCCUUCCCAGCGAGGGCAAGGAGACAGAACAGCAGUUGAUGAUUCUUUGACCAUUCCUUUUGGAUGGUCCUUUCUUACAGUGGAGAAGUUCAUGGACGAGGUAAUCCCAACUAGCUCCACAUGGACACCCGAAGCUGUGGAGAGCAGGGGUUUGCAUCCCUAGGGAAUGAGUGCAGGUAGGGCUCAUCUUCCAGUGGUUUCCCAUAGCAAGAGUUCAACCAACAUUUCCCAUCUGUCUCCGUUUUCUCGGGGCCCCGGGAAGUUCAGCCCUCCACUAAAAAUAACCUCUGCCUUUUACUGCUGGGAAAGAAUCCCAGUGUUCACAGGAACAGGGUUUCUAAUCUUCACAGAGGCAGAUGCUGGAAUACCCCAAAAGCCCAGAAACAGCCAGGCAAAAUUAAUGAGACUUUCCCACUUAUUGUUAAAAAAAGAAUUUCUCCUGUGAGUUUAUAGCAGUUGCAGAGCCAAAGGCCCUUUUGCUCUCCAAAUAAACUGUACUUUCCACAGUUUCAGGGUUGGCUGUGCUGUGCCGUGAACUUCAGAAAUAGGAAUGGAUGAGGUCUCUGGCAGAAAAAUCCAAAAGAAGUGGGCAAAGACCCCAGCCCUGCUCCGUGUGCUCUGCUGGGGCUUGUUCUUUAAAACACAUGGAUCUUCCGAGCAGUGGGAUGGAGCUGUGGCUUCUUCCCAAACUUCUCGAAAGCUUUGUAGCCUGCAGACAUCAUUAGGAGAGGGCAAUUAGCCCAAAUCAGUCCUGCUGCCCAGGGGAGGAGUGGAAGCUGUCCAUGCCUUGGCACCCCCUCCAGGGAUUUCUCAUGGAGCCCUGGAGAGGUUCAGAAAUAGGAAGCCCUUUUCCAAAACUGGGAAUUUUGGAAAGUCUUUCAUCCAUUUAGGUCUCCCCUUCCUUCCCAACUUUGUGUGUUUUGUCAGAGGGGGCAAAAAAAGGGAAGCCAAAAAAAUUCUGGGGUCUGUCCUUGGGUUUCCUGAGGAAUUUCAGGAAGAAAAUCCCAACUGUUUCCCAGCUACCGGGAAAGGCUGGUGGUGAGCAUUGCAUGGAGCAUGAGGUCAGACAGGCUGUGAGGUCAGAGGCCUUAAAAAGUGUUUCCUUGGACUUUUCUUUCUGAGGCUGGAGUAAGAUAACCCUUUAGAAGAGUGUUUUGGGAACAGUUCUGUGCUCCCAAACUUCUGCUAAACGUCGAAGGGAGGGAGAACCCAGAAGGAAGCAGAACCAGGAAGGAUCAGCCCAGUGCCAUGUGAGGAACACGCUGCAACGCCAAGGGCAGAGCUGAGCCUUUCCAGGUCUCAUCCCAGAUAUUUAACUGGAAAACCAUCCUUCCACUCCUCAUUCCAGCUUCUGGAAGUGCCUGCUGUGCUCACUGCUCCAGCUGGCAUUGAGGCCAGAACGCUGCUCCCUGGUGCAGGAAUUAAUUCUUCCUUCCUCUCUCUUAACAAAAAAAAAUAAUAACAGCAGAUACCAUGGAGAGGUUAAUAGGGAAGGACUAUUUUUAGACCUCAAGGUAUUGGAUCAUCCUUUGUUAUGGCAACGAAACUUGUUAUUCCUGGUUUCCCCCGGUCUUUUUUAUGCAUCAGAGUCAUCGAGGCUUCCAUCCAGCUCCCAGCAAACAUGCAGAAACCUCGGGAGCCGAGAACUGCUUUGACUGGUCCACGGCUGAGUGCUGAAGUGCAGCCAUCUGACAUGACACCAGCACAGGAGACUCCUGGAAAAGAGGAGGAAAGCCCGAGGAGUUUCCCCUUUCUCCUGACUGCACAGUACCACCUUAAUAUCUUUCCCAUCCUCGCUCUGGCUGGAAAACAGCAAGCUGAAAACACUCAAUUCGAUUUUCAGGGUAGUUUUUUAGGAGCCGGAGGCACAGAUUGCUCAAGGCCUUUCCGAGAGGGCUGGCACAUGGGAGGGGGGCGGCUGUCAGCGCUCGCCCACCAAAGCACCUUUUCUCCUCCAUAAAAGCCUUGCAACAGAGCCCUUCCUGCACUUUCCGUGGUGUCCCAGCUUGCCAAGGAGUUGUGCAAUCAGCUGUCAGACACGUUUGGAGAGCACAGCGUGGCAAAGGGGCUUAAUACAACCCUACGUGUUUAUUUGGGAACAGGAACCCCAACCAAACCCUCUCCACGAGAGGAAUAAAAUCCGCCAGCUUCAAACCUCUUGCUGUGUUUCUUCUCUCUCCCGUCUCCCACUAAAGAACCUGGAUGAAAUGUUUUUAAUAAAAACCUCUUUUUUCUUC